rnacentral:rRNA from 1 species
UGUAUAAAGUGGCGAACGGCUGAGUAACACGUGGGCAACCUGCCCUUUGCACUGGGAUAGCCUCGGGAAACCGAGGUUAAUACCGGAUACUCCAUAUUUGUCGCAUGGCGAAUAUGGGAAAGCUCCGGCGGCAAAGGAUGGGCCCGCGGCCUGUUAGCUAGUCGGUGGGGUAGUGGCCCACCAAGGCAAUGAUGGGUAGCCGGGUUGAGAGACCGACCGGCCAGAUUGGGACUGANACACGGCCCAGACUCCUACGGGAGGCAGCAGUU